UACGAAGGGGGGCUAGCGUUGCUCGGAAUCACUGGGCGUAAAGCGCACGUAGGCGGAUUUUUAAGUCAGGGGGUGAAAUCCUGGAGCUCAACUCCAGAACUGCCUUUGAUACUGGGAAUCUCGAGUCCGGAAGAGGUGAGUGGAACUGCGAGUGUAGAGGUGAAAUUCGUAGAUAUUCGCAAGAACACCAGUGGCGAAGGCGGCUCACUGGCCCGUAACUGACGCUGAGGCACGAAAGCGUGGGGAGCAAACAGGG
rnacentral:rRNA from 1 species